ensembl:lncRNA
UAGAACACAGCAACCAUGCGACUUUGAUUUUGUGUAGAUCCGGUUCAAUUAAAGACACAGACAGACACCUGAUGGACGGCCAUGCACAUAUUGGACCGGACGAAUAACUGAAGAGCUGAACAACUCACGACCUGGAGGAUCACAUGCACAACAUGCGCACUUCGCUGACCUCCUGCUGUGCGUGUCCAGACCAGAUGAAGACACUGACAUCAUCUACUGCAGAUUGACACCAGCAGGUGCACCAGACUUUCACAGUCUGAAGACUCCCUCUCAUCACAUUCACGACCACGUCACGUUCUUGUGCCUCUAAAUUUAAUUUCUGUUCCCUCUUGACUCAGAGGAGUCACACGGGUUAAUAACUGAGAUCCUGACUCGAUGCACCCUGCCAUGCAAGCGGACUGAGCAAAUCAUCCAGAGGAGAAUCACACUGGCAAGUGUGACGUCAUGUCUGACGCAGUGGAUUCACUGAACCUCAGAUGUGUAUCCAGGCGAUGUCCACGCUGUCACGGCACGAACAACCACUGAUGUGUGAGGAGU